CUCCUAUAGAGAGCUGCAACAAUGCCCAAAAGAAAGGCUGCCGGUCAAGGUGAUAUGAGGCAGGAGCCAAAGAGAAGAUCAGCCAGGCUGUCUGCUAUGCCUGUGCCCAUUACACCAGAGUUGAAGCCCAAAAGAACAUCAACUCCAAAG